UACAAUACAUAAACAUACACACAUAUAUAUUGCAGAAUCUCCCCAGCUCUUACAUUACUGAACCAGUCUUGACUGGUGAAUUUAAGGUUUUUUAUUUUAUUUGAUUAAGAUCAACCACCAUCAUCAAAGUCACCACAAUAACCUCAAUAAAUGUGAAAACUAAAACAUAUACAAACAUUGUAAUACAAAACAUGAACUUAACCAAUAAAGAUAACAAAACUAAACAGACCUCGCUGCUUUCGCUGGGGAACACUAAGUUUUGAUUUCUUUGUGACAAGCACAUCUUGACAGUUCAAUUAAUUCACUGUUUCAAUGACUCUUUCAACUUAUAUAGAGUCUGCCCUCAUUAGCUCCUGCAGCCCGUGAGGUCAAUUGUUAGGAUGGCCCUUAGCGGGAGGCUGAAAUAGGAGUCUGGAGGCAGGGGUAGUGCAACCAACCAGGUGUUUUAAUCUCCAACAUUUAACAAAGAUGACAUUCCUGCUUACAUGGUCAGGAGGUGUCGCAGCACCCGCACCUAUUACUCCUAUCAUGUGGCCAACAUGCAGGCUUUGUAAUCCUGGGCGGCACCAAUUAACACACUUCCCAAAAGACAGGGUAGAACAAACCACAUAUACACCAAACAACUUAACAAAACAACCAAUCUUCAACACAUAAAUAACACACAUUCUUCAUGGUUACAUACUCAUUUACUAUCUAAAACUACCCUCCUAUAAAUAUUAAUUUAUUCAUCACUUCUAAAAUGCCUCAGGCUUUGUUCCCCCUCUUCCAUCUGCACUUGGUCUCUUCCAGAAUCUUUAUCAGGUGUUCAGGCCCCCGGGGACUCUUUUCGCCUGAACACCCUACAGAGGAACAGACAGAGGUAAGCCAUAAUCUACAAACAUUUGUAAUACAUUUCAUAAUUACCAUAUUUACUUCAUUUAUAUUAUUCCCCCCCCAGGACACCCUCAAUACCCACUGAGAUGCCCUGCAUAAAACACCCAAUAAAAUACUUCAAUCUAUUUGUACCCGUCUCAUUAUCAUUUACACAUAAUUAAAGUGUUAUCCUGACCAGUAAUGAAGACCUUCAUUACAUCAAUAAAAAAAAAAAAAAAUUACAAAAUGCAAAUUCCAUUUCACAAAAUAUAAACCACCAACAGUGCCAAUCCAAACAGACAAAGAUAUCUAAACGAUAUGCAACAUUGAUAAUUUAGAAAAUUUACUUUAGUUUACAAAUGUAUUUUAUAUAAUCUCCAAGUAUUAAUAAUUUUAAAUUAAUUUUCUGAAAUAAUUAGCUAUUUUGUUAUAUAUAUAUAUAUAUAUAUCGAUCUAUCAAUCUAUCUUGUUUGAAUAUGCUGUAUAUUCUUCUUGAUUACAGUAUUUGAUGACCACUGUUGGUGUGCGAUGUGCGCUGCAUACAAAGCCCCGGGGUCUGGCCCUGGAAUGACAGACUGGAUCCAGUGUGACAACUGUGACCGAUGGUACCAUGCCCUGUGCAUAAAUAUGAAGAGCACAGAAUUUCAAAAGAAAUAAACAGGCAGUUGGAAAUGUGUAUUGUGUAGUUAAUCUGAAAACUAGAAACUGUGUUCAUUAUUGUUCGAAAUACGUUUUGAAAAUAUCUGUGGAAAAUGAAAAUGUAAUAUGUUUGUGUGGCAUUGAUGCUAUGUGUGAUGUAUAAAGUGUACUGGAAUCAUU